AGAGAAGCUUGCUUCUCUUGAGAGCGGCGGACGGGUGAGUAAUACCUAGGAAUCUGCCUGGUAGUGGGGGAUAACGUUCGGAAACGGACGCUAAUACCGCAUACGUCCUACGGGAGAAAGCAGGGGACCUUCGGGCCUUGCGCUAUCAGAUGAGCCUAGGUCGGAUUAGCUAGUUGGUGAGGUAAUGGCUCACCAAGGCGACGAUCCGUAACUGGUCUGAGAGGAUGAUCAGUCACACUGGAACUGAGACACGGUCCAGACUCCUACGGGAGGCAGCAGUGGGGAAUAUUGGACAAUGGGCGAAAGCCUGAUCCAGCCAUGCCGCGUGUGUGAAGAAGGUCUUCGGAUUGUAAAGCACUUUAAGUUGGGAGGAAGGGCAGUUACCUAAUACGUGAGUAUUUUGACGUUACCGACAGAAUAAGCACCGGCUAACUCUGUGCCAGCAGCCGCGGUAAUACAGAGGGUGCAAGCGUUAAUCGGAAUUACUGGGCGUAAAGCGCGCGUAGGUGGUUCGUUAAGUUGGAUGUGAAAUCCCCGGGCUCAACCUGGGAACUGCAUCCAAAACUGGCGAGCUAGAGUAGGGCAGAGGGUGGUGGAAUUUCCUGUGUAGCGG
rnacentral:rRNA from 1 species